ACUUUUUACUCACAUUUACUUUAAGUCUUCACCCAAUAAAUAAAUAAAUAAAUCUUAACUCUCUGCAGGCAGGGAUGAUGCCGCUGUCUGUUCAGGUCAGGGUAACUCGGUGAACACCAGACCAGGGCAGGAGAGAUAUCAGCCUCGAUUCCUCUGCUUCCCCCAACCACAGAAGCCUCCCUCCGGCCCUCUGCCACCCAUUACCCACAGCCUGGCACCCAGACACAGUGAGGACAGGCCUCAUCUGGCACCAGGUGGCACUGUGACUUCUAAGACAAAAGGCCCGGAGGACCAGACGACAAACAAGGAGAUAAAGACGACUUUCAGAACAGCAGUGAAGAGACAGAGAGUUCAGAUGAGCCCAAUAACUGAAGCAGAAAGCAGAGCUCGGGAAGAGCUGAGAGGAUGGACUGUAGAGCAGACGGUUACAGAGCAUUUGACUGGCUACCCAAAGGACGAAAGUGGUCAAUGGAAACAAAGUGCAAUAGAAACAGGCGGCGAGAAAGAAAGCUCCUCUUCAAAACCAGCGAAUAUCAACCCCUCGUUGGGAUGCAGUCACCUUUCUAGUGUCAGCAACUUCACAAGACACGUGGAGGCAGCCUGCCAGCGAAGCCCUGUGAAACAGAAAGCCACUGAUGCACACUUGAGGAAAACGAACACACAUCCAAAGCCCAGCUUCAACACCUUCCAUCUACCUCCCAUUAACCAGACUCUUCCCUCAGACUCAGACAGCAAGGAGCAUGAAGUAAAUUCUGGGGGCAACACUAGAGACAACCACAAGGAUUCAGUACCACAGCUGCCAGAUAUUCAUCACACUGACAGGAAGACAGAGACAACUGCUCCCAAACCACCAGAAAGAUGCGUCCUAAGGAACGUGCUUUUGCUUCUACCUUCACAAAUGAAUCAAGAUGAGACGUUCCCCCAAAAGUCGUAUGAUGGUCAUCAUGGUCUUCCUGAGGAUGAGAAAGAACGAGAGGAUGGUCUUCCUGAGAAGAAGGAUGUCCUGUCUGGAGGUGUGGAGCAGAAGGGCGAGUCGUUAAUGAGAGGUGGACAGAAAGAGCCUCCUGAACAUGGCUGCCUCCUUCAUCCUGCAGAGCACUAUAACCUCAUUUGGUUUGAACCUGUGGAGGACAAAGAGAAUCAGACCAUUCCAGGCCCACUACCCCCCUUUAUAGGUCGUAAGGGUCCUGGCAAACAGAGCUCUAUGGCUCUCUACAGACAAGACCCUGGCGAGACUGCAGACCAGACCGAGCCUCGAUCUGGCAUCAUCCGAGGAAGCCUUCCUCUGGAACUGAGAGAGUGUGAGAAGGGAGAGCACUGUGGAACCUUAAUAAUGGGUCCUGCCGGGGAAAUCAUACGCUUGUCUCUCUGGGAUGCCCUAACUGACACUGAGGACCACCCAGUUCUGGAUGAGGCUACUAGAGAACAUGUUCUCAGGGUUAUGACUUCCGAGGGAGUUGGGGAACAGCCUUGGGCGAUCCUGCUGAAGGAGCAGCAGAGUACAUAUACAGACAGAAUGAACAAAGGUGAACUGGAGGCUCAUCCAGGCCGCAGACAGCAAGCGAACUCCAACCAAGAGGAGAGACCUACUGCUGAACAUACCGGAGCAGUGGAGAAUGCAGAGCGUUUUGACGCUGACGGAAAAAGAAUGGUUGAGGCCUGUGCAUCUGAACAAAGACCAGGAAAGCUGAAGCGUUCCAUAGAAACCCGACCUGCUCAUAGCAAAGGGGAAAACGCUGAACUAAAGAGCAGCGGAAGGACACAGGCUCUCCAGCCCGAGGGUGGAGACACACCUGGGUCAUCAAUACCAAACUCCACGUCUGCCAGCAGUCCUCAGAAAAAAGCCCUCUCCAUCUCCACAGCUGUGCAGGAAGCAGAGCUCCAAACCCAGACAAACAGAAAAAUAGACACUGAUUUUGACAGUAAGACCCAGUCCAGGAAAGCAGGUGGAGGAGAUGAUGCAGAAAGCACCCAAAUAAGGAAAGUAAAGAAGAAAGAAGGAAAGCUUGAUCAGCAUGUAGAGAAGAAGACUGGACAAACAAAUGAAGACAGAGAGUCAGAAGACACUAUUUACACUGCAGACCCAAGCCCUGGACCAACACCAAAGAAAAAGAAAACGACUAAGAAACCAGAGGAGACCACAAGUCAACCAAAGAAGACCUCUACCCAACCAAAGAAGACCUCAACUCAACCUAAAAAGUCCAGAGACUCCAGAAGUCAACCAAAAGACUACAGAAGUCAAACACCUGAGUCCAGAAGUCAAACACCUGAGUGCAGAAGUCAAACACCUGAGUCCAGAAGUCAAACCCCUGAGUCCAGAAGUCGAUCGAAGGAGUCCAGAAGUCGAUCGAAGGAGUCCAGAAGACGAUCGAAGGAGUCCAGGAGUCAAGCAAGAGAUCCCAAAAGUCAACCAAAGGAGUCUAGAAGUCAAUCAAACAAUACAAUAAAGAAAAAAAAGAAAACCAAAGGUCAAGCAGCAUUUGUUGUUGGUAAACCAAGAAAGUCUCAGGCUGAAAGAGAAGCAGAUAUACCUGGGAGACCUGAGAGAACAGCGCCCAGCAGAGAGGAGAACGAUCCAGAACACCAAGCUGAGCUUGACCGCUGCUGCAGUACUCAUGGACCUGCUGCAGACAUUGAUCAGGCCUCAGUGUACAGAGAUGAUCGUACAGCUGCAGGUUCCCUCAGGACUCUCAGUUCUGCUGCAGCCUCCAGCAGAUCUCACGGCUCUACUCUGGCCUCCAGCAGACCUCACAGCUCUGCAGCAGCCUCCAAUAGAACUCAUGGUUCUGCAGCCCCCAGCAGAACUUAUAGCCCUGCAGCGUAUUCCUACAGAACACACAGUCCUGCUGCAACCUCCACCAGAACACACAGCUCUUCAUCAUAUUCCUACAGAACACACAGCCCCACGGCAGCGUCCACCAGAACGCACAGUUCUACUGCCAUGUACUCAGCCAGAGAGAGACCUUGGAGAACCAAUAAAGCAACAAAAAUUAAAACCUGUACUCCAGCACCGCUCUCUCUUACCCAGAUGCCCUCCCAGUCUGCACACCACUCUCCAUCAAACCCUGCCAAGCCUGGGUCAAAUGGUCAUUCCGAAAGCCCCGAUGAAGCUGCAGUCCUGAGGGAGAUCCAAGCCGCAGCGAAGGCUGAAAAGGCUGAACGCCGCCGGCUGGAGACGGAGAGAAAGAGGAAGGAGAAAGAAGAGGAGCAGAGGAGGGAGGAGAAGCGAGAGGAGAGGGAGGAGAAGAUGAAGCUGGAGCUGGAGGAGGAGCAGAGGCAGAGAGCAGAACAGGCCAGGUAAAACUAAAGUCCAGACUAAAGGGGUCCCAUCAGAAACAUAAUUAAAGUGCGGAC
ensembl:lncRNA